UCUCUCUGAAUCUGCGUACGGCUCAUUACAUCAGUUAUAGUUUAUUUGAUAUUACCUUACUACUUGGAUAACCGUAGUAAUUCUAGAGCUAAUACAUGCAAAAAAUCCCGACUUCUGGAAGGGAUGUAUUUAUUAGAUACAAAACCAAACCGGGGCAACUCGGUCGUGGUGAUUCAUAAUAACUUUGCGAAUCGCAUGGCUUUACGCUGGCGAUGCAUCAUUCAAAUUUCUGCCCUAUCAACUUUCGAUGGUAAGGUAUUGGCUUACCAUGGUUACAACGGGUAACGGAGAAUUAGGGUUCGAUUCCUGGAGAGUGGGCCUGAGAGAUUGUUAG
rnacentral:rRNA from 1 species